rnacentral:misc_RNA from 1 species
AAGUCGUAACAAGGUUUCCGUAGGUGAACCUGCGGAAGGAUCAUUACAGUAUUCUUUUGCCAGCGCUUAACUGCGCGGCGAAAAACCUUACACACCGUGUCUUUUUUUGAUACAGAACUCUUGCUUUGGUCUGGCCUAGAGAUAGGCUGGGCCAAAGGCACUACAAAACACAAUUUAAAUUUUUUUAACCAUUAGUCAAUGUUUUUGAAAUUAAUCUUCAAAACUUUCAACAACGGAUCUCUUGGUUCUC